AGUCAUACGCUCGUCUCAAAGAUUAAGCCAUGCAUGUGUAAGUAUAAAUAAUUUUACUUUGAAACUGCGAAUGGCUCAUUAUAUCAGUUAUAGUUUAUUAGAAAUACUUUACUACUUGGAUAACCGUAGUAAUUCUAGGGCUAAUACAUGACUAAAUCCUCAACUUCGGAAGAGGUGUGUUUAUUAGUAUGAAAACCAUAUAUCUUCGGAUAUAUAGUGAGUAAUAAUAACCUUUCGUAUCGUAUGUCGUAAGAUAACGAUAGUUCUUUCAAGUUUCUGCCCUAUCAGCUUUCGAUGGUAGUAUAUGGGACUACCAUGGCAGUAACGGGUAACGAAGAAUUUGGGUUCGAUUUCGGAGAGGGAGCCUGAGAGAUGGCUACCACAUCCAAGGAAGGCAGCAGGCGCGUAAAUUACCCAAUCCUGACAUAGGGAGGUAGUGACAAUAAAUCACAAUGCGGAACUAUUUAGUUUUGCAAUUGGAUUGAGAACAAUGUACAAAUGUUAUCGAUAAACAAUUGGAGGGCAAGUCUGGUGCCAGCAGCCGCGGUAAUUCCAGCUCCAAUAGCGUAUAUUAACGUUGUUGCAGUUAAAAAGCUCGUAGUUGAAAUGUGGGAUGAAGUAUAUGAUGAAUUUAAUAUUCAAUUAUAUAUUGAUUCCCCUCUCCAAUUUAUUAUUAUGGGUAUUAAUUUAUUUGUAAUAAGAAUUGGUCAUUUACUGUGAGAAAAUUAGAGUGUUCAAAGCAGGCAUUUGCUUGAAUAGAUUAGCAUGGAAUAAUACUAAAAGGCUUUUAUGGUCGAUUUAAUUGGUUUGUUCAUAAAAGCAAGAUUAAAAGGAACAGUUGGGGGUAUUCAUAUUCAAUAGUUAGAGGUGAAAUUCUCGGAUUUAUGGAA
rnacentral:rRNA from 1 species